rnacentral:misc_RNA from 1 species
AACGCACAUUGCGCCCGCCAGCAUUCUGGCGGGCAUGCCUGUUCGAGCGUCAUUUCAACCCUCAGGUCCCCUCCUCUUCCGGGAGGUGGGUGGCCUGGUGUUGGGGGACGGCGCCAGGCGGUCGGACCCUCCGGGGCUCGCACCGCCCGCCGCCCCCGAAAUGAAUUGGCGGCCUCGGCGCGGCCUCCCCUGCGUAGUAAGCACAGCAAGUCUCGCAUCGGGAGCGCGUCGCGGUCAAGCCGUGAAACGCCCAACUUUAUACAGAGUUGACCUCGGAUCAGGUAGGAAUACCCGCUGAACUUAA